rnacentral:rRNA from 1 species
CAGAAAACUCCACUCCUCCAGUCCUCCCCAGCUAGACGGACUUUUCCUCUCCACCCUCUCCUGUACCUUUCCUCUUCCUCCCCGAUCCCUUCCUCCGCCACGCUGCUCUCAUGCUCUGCCCUACCCAAUCUCACCUAUAGUCCACCACCACUGUGCCCCCCCAACAACCCCGCCGCUGACGCGCGUCGCCGCCAUCGCCGUCGCCGUUCCUACUUCACCGCGUCGCUGCCGUCUCCGCCCCGUCCGCAAUCCUGGACACUGGUUUUUGAGGGCAACUGGGGUCAUCAUGUGCCAUACACUUCUUAAGCUGUAUCAAACUCCUUACCCGUUCCGAUGCUCUUAAGGUCCUGCUUAAAACAAAGAGAUGGACGCAACUGAUCUAGAGAAUCCAACAUCCAGAAACUCAUCUCAGAAAUCCAGCCGCCGUUCCAGUAGCCGGCGUUCUCAAAAGUCAGCUGGGCAACAAUCUUCCCCCACUGUAUUUCCAGAGAAAAGAGGCAAAUCUAGAUCUUUGAGGCAAAAGCAUGUGGCUGUUGACAAUAAAGAUGCCAAAAAGGGUAAAAACCAUGAGCGUAGAACUGAUACGGUGGAUGAGAGGUCCAAUUUUGUAGGUUUCGAAGUCUAUUCUGGCAAACUGUUUUAUGACAGGAAAAAUAAAAGUAUAGGAGCGGAUGGUCAUUUGUCAUCAAAUAAGAAAGCUGAUACAACUGAUGCAAGACUCACAAGUAAAGCCCUUAUAUGGGGUUCUACUGUACUCAGCCUUGAGGAUGUCAUCUCUGUAUCUUAUAAUUCUGGUCUCCAACAUUUUACUUUACAUGCAUAUCCUGCUAAGAACUCUCUAUUUGGAAAGACACAUAGAGCUCGGAAGGACUUCCGGUUUAUGGCCUCUACACUAGACGAGGCCAUUUUGUGGGUAACAUGCUUUGCAGAACAGAACAUAUACAUUAAUGUACUGCCACAUCCUGCAACAUCCAGUAUUAAGCAAGACACAGAUGGCCCCCUUGGUGGGGUUUUAUUUGAUUACCCGCCAAUCAAAUGCAGAACUCCGCAGAGAAUACUUGUUAUAUUGAACCCUCGUUCUGGACAUGGUCGAUCAAUUAAAGUUUUCCAUGAAAAAGCAGAACCUAUAUUUAAGCUUGCAGGUUUUCACAUGGAAGUAGUUAAAACUACUCACGCUGGUCAUGCGAAGUCUCUUGCGUCUACUUUUGAUUUUGGCGCAUUCCCUGAUGGGAUUGUCUGUGUUGGCGGUGAUGGAAUAGUAAAUGAGGUGUUCAACGGUCUUCUCACCAGAAGCGAUAGAACAGAAGCUGUGUCAAUUCCAGUCGGAAUAAUCCCAGCAGGAUCUGACAACUCACUUAUUUGGACUGUUCUGGGAGUUAAAGAUCCUAUUUCUGCUUCAUUGUUGAUUGUUAAGGGUGGCUUUACAACCCUAGACAUAUUGGCUGUUGAGUGGCUCCAAUCUGGGCUAAUACAUUUCGGCACAACUGUUUCAUACUAUGGUUUUGUUAGUGAUGUCCUUGAACUUUCUGAGAAAUACCAGAAGAGAUUUGGCCCUCUUCGAUAUUUUGUGGCUGGAGUACUCAAAUUUUUGUGUCUACCAAGUUACUUCUAUGAGUUAGAAUAUCUUCCUUUGUCCAAGGACAUGGCUGGGCAUGGAAAAGGUACAGGACAAGACAAGGUUGAAUUGUCUGAUGUCUAUACAGAUGUAAUGCGCAGUCGAUCAAAAAGAGAAGGAUUUCCACGAGCUUCCAGUUUUUCAAGUAUUGACUCUAUCAUGACUCCAAGUAGGAUGUCUCUUGGGGACUUCGACACAUCAGGUGGUACAGCGGCAAGCAGUGAACCGUCAGAGUAUGUUCGUGGUUUUGAUCCAAAAGCAAAACGGCAAUCUAUGGGCAGAAGCAACAUUGUUUCGGAACCAGAAGAAGUCCUACGCCCUCAACAGCAUCAUGCAUCAUACUGGCCAAGAACGAGGUCCAAAACAAGGACCGAUAGAAAUUCAGUUGGUGUCACAGCUUCUAAUGAUACACGGUUAUCUUGGGCAGCCCCUUCAAUGCAUGAUAAGGAGGACAUUUCCUCGACAAUAUCAGAUCCAGGACCUAUUUGGGAUAAUGAACCAAAGUGGGACACUGGGCCAAGAUGGGACACAGAGCCAACUUGGGAGCCUGACCAUCCUAUCGAACUUCCUGAACCACCAGAAGAUAUAGAAAUCGGAACAUCUAUGGAACUUGUGCCAAAUUUGGAUGAGAAAUGGGUUGUCAGGAAGGGGCACUUUCUUGGUGUCCUAGUAUGUAACCACUCGUGCAAAACAGUUCAAAGUUCCCAGAUUGUCGCGCCAAAUGCGAGCCAUGAUGACAACAGUCUGGACUUACUUUUAGUUGGCGGAAGGGGGAGAUGGAAGCUGUUGAGAUUUUUCAUACUACUGCAAUUUGGUCGCCAUCUUUCUUUACCGUAUGUGGAAUAUGUGAAGGUGAAAUCUGUUAAGGUUAAACCUGGUGCAAAUACCCACAAUGGCUGUGGGAUAGAUGGUGAGCUCUGCCGCGUCAAGGGGCAGGUAGUAUGUUCCAUGCUACCGGAGCAGUGCAGGCUUAUUGGCCGGCAAUGUAAACAGUCUAUUUAAGCACCACAAGUCUGCCGAGCUUCACGAGUUUUUGAGGCGCUGUAUGAUCUGUUGUCACUUGUAACAGUUGAUUUUGAGUUGUCUAUAUUAUCGUUUACUUGCCAAUGAGGGUGGGAGUGACUGGUCGAUCAGACAAUGUUGUGACGUUUCUGUAUAUUUGAGUGAUUAUAGAGGGAUGCCUCCAUCCUUUUUUC